rnacentral:rRNA from 1 species
AUUGAACGCUGGCGGCAGGCCUAACACAUGCAAGUCGAGCGGAUGACGGGAGCUUGCUCCUUGAUUCAGCGGCGGACGGGUGAGUAAUGCCUAGGAAUCUGCCUGGUAGUGGGGGACAACGUUUCGAAAGGAACGCUAAUACCGCAUACGUCCUACGGGAGAAAGCAGGGGACCUUCGGGCCUUGCGCUAUCAGAUGAGCCUAGGUCGGAUUAGCUAGUUGGUGGGGUAAUGGCUCACCAAGGCGACGAUCCGUAACUGGUCUGAGAGGAUGAUCAGUCACACUGGAAGUGAGACACGGUCCAGGCUCCUACGGGAGGCAGCAGGGGGGAAUAUUGGACAAUGGGCGAAAUCCUGAUCCAGCCAUGCCGCGUGUGUGAAGAAGGUCUUCGGAUUGUAAAGCACUUUAAGUUGGGAGGAAGGGCAGUAAGCUAAUAUCUUGCUGUUUUGACGUUACCGACAGAAUAAGCACCGGCUAACUCUGUGCCAGCAGCCGCCGUAA